rnacentral:rRNA from 1 species
AGUGAACGCUGGCGGCGUGCUUAACACAUGCAAGUCGAGCGAAGCCUUCGGGCUUAGCGGCGGACGGGUGAGUAACGCGUGGGAACGUGCCCUUUGGUACGGAAUAGCCCCGGGAAACUGGGAGUAAUACCGUAUGUGGUCGAGAGACGAAAGAUUUAUCGCCAAAGGAUCGGCCCGCGUUGGAUUAGGUAGUUGGUGGGGUAAUGGCCUACCAAGCCGACGAUCCAUAGCUGGUUUGAGAGGAUGAUCAGCCACACUGGGACUGAGACACGGCCCUGACUCCUACGGGAGGCAGCAGUGUCAAUCUUAGACAAUGGGGGAAACCCUGAUCUAGCCAUGCCGCGUGAUCGAUGAAGGCCUUAGGGUUGUAAAGAUCUUUCAGUGGGGAAGAUAAUGACUGUACCCACAGAAGAAGCCCCGGCUAACUCCGUGCCAGCCGCCGCAGUAA